AGCAGCCGCGGUAAUUCCAGCUCCAAUAGCGUAUAUUAAAGUUGUUGCAGUUAAAAAGCUCGUAGUUGAAUUUCGGGAUCAGUUUGUUGGUCGUGCUUCGGUACGUACUGUCAUUACUGGUUUCUACCUUCUGAAGAACCUUGAUGUCAUUAAUUUGGUGUCUUGGGGAAUCAGGACUGUUACUUUGAAAAAAUUAGAGUGUUUAAAGCAAGCAUACGCUUGAAUACAUUAGCAUGGAAUAAUGAAAUAGGACGUUUGAUUCUAUUUUGUUGGUUUCUAGGAUCGAUGUAAUGAUUAAUAGGGAUAGUUGGGGGCAUUAGUAUUCAAUUGUCAGAGGUGAAAUUCUUGGAUUUAUUGAAGACUAACUACUGCGAAAGCAUUUGCCAGGGAUGUUUUCAUUAAUUCAAGAACGAAAGUUAGGGGAUCGAAGACGAUCAGAUACCGUCGUAGUCUUAACCAUAAACUAUGCCGACUAGGGAUCGGAUGAUGUUAAUUUUAUAAUGACUCAUUCGUAC
rnacentral:rRNA from 1 species